rnacentral:rRNA from 1 species
UACGGGGGGGGCAAGCGUUGUUCGGAAUUACUGGGCGUAAAGGGCUCGUAGGCGGCCAACUAAGUCGGAUGUGAAAUCCCCAGGCUUAACCUGGGAACUGCAUCCGAUACUGGAUGGCUUGAAUCCGGGAGAGGGAUGCAGAAUUCCAGGUGUAGCGGUGAAAUGCGUAGAUAUCUGGAGGAAUACCGGUGGCGAAGGCAGGUCUCUGGGCCAUUACUGACACUGAGAAGCGAAAGCAUGGGGAGCGAACAGG